rnacentral:rRNA from 1 species
ACGGACGAGAAGCUUGCUUCUCUGAUGUUAGCGGCGGACGGGUGAGUAACACGUGGAUAACCUACCUAUAAGACUGGGAUAACUUCGGGAAACCGGAGCUAAUACCGGAUAAUAUUUUGAACCGCAUGGUUCAAAAGUGAAAGACGGUCUUGCUGUCACUUAUAGAUGGAUCCGCGCUGCAUUAGCUAGUUGGUAAGGUAACGGCUUACCAAGGCAACGAUGCAUAGCCGACCUGAGAGGGUGAUCGGCCACACUGGAACUGAGACACGGUCCAGACUCCUACGGGAGGCAGCAGUAGGGAAUCUUCCGCAAUGGGCGAAAGCCUGACGGAGCAACGCCGCGUGAGUGAUGAAGGUCUUCGGAUCGUAAAACUCUGUUAUUAGGGAAGAACAUAUGUGUAAGUAACUGUGCACAUCUUGACGGUACCUAAUCAGAAAGCCACGGCUAACUACGUGCCAGCAGCCGCGGUAAUACGUAGGUGGCAAGCGUUAUCCGGAAUUAUUGGGCGUAAAGCGCGCGUAGGCGGUUUUUUAAGUCUGAUGUGAAAGCCCACGGCUCAACCGUGGAGGGUCAUUGGAAACUGGAAAACUUGAGUGCAGAAGAGGAAAGUGGAAUUCCAUGUGUAGCGGUGAAAUGCGCAUGUAGAUAUGGAGGAACACCAGUGGCGAAGGCGACUUUCUGGUCUGUAACUGACGCUGAUGUGCGAAAGCGUGGGGAUCAUACAGGAUUAGAUACCCUGGUAGUCCACGCCGUAAACGAUGAGUGCUAAGUGUUAGGGGGUUUCCGCCCCUUUAGUGCUUGCUAGCUAACGCAUUGAAGCACUCCGCCUGGGGAUACGAC